UUAGAAUCUCAACCUCGAUACUUUUUUAUUUCUGUGCUAUCUGUGUUCCUUGACAUACACCAUGGUGUUACAAAUCUUUAUUGGUCCUUUUUUGUUCACCAAUAUGUGUCAGUUUCUCUUGCUAAAACGGGCAAUUUAAAAGAUCAUCGUGAUGCACUUGUAGAAUUAGUUGCUUCUUCGGAAUAUGGAAUCCUUCAUUUGUUUAGUCAUCACCAGUUACAGGAAUUUUUAUUAAUUGAAAGGGAAUGCUCAUUACACGCAAUGGAGUACGAAGAAGAGUUGUCUGUCAUUAAUUCUCAACAAGAAUGAUGGUAAUUUUUGUUUACAAAUCUCAAGUACUCCAGAGUUGAAAUUGAUGAAGUGCGGUUCAAGUGGGC